GACGAACGCUGGCGGCGUGCUUAACACAUGCAAGUCGAACGAUGAAGCCGGAGCUUGCUCUGGUGAAUUAGUGGCGAACGGGUGAGUAACACGUGAGUAACCUGCCCUUGACUCUGGGAUAACUGCUAGAAAUGGUAGCUAAUACCGGAUACGACCCUCGGAGGCAUCUCCAGGGGGUGGAAAGAAUUUCGGUCAAGGAUGGACUCGCGGCCUAUCAGCUAGUUGGUGAGGUAACGGCUCACCAAGGCGGCGACGGGUAGCCGGCCUGAGAGGGUGACCGGCCACACUGGGACUGAGACACGGCCCAGACUCCUACGGGAGGCAGCAGUGGGGAAUAUUGCACAAUGGGCGCAAGCCUGAUGCAGCAACGCCGCGUGAGGGAUGACGGCCUUCGGGUUGUAAACCACUUUUGACUCGUCAGAAAUGGCGAGUAGAAUAAGCACCCGCUAACUACGUGCCAGCCGCCGCUGUAA
rnacentral:rRNA from 1 species